UACGGGGGGGGGCAAGCGUUGUUCGGAAUUACUGGGCGUAAAGGGCUCGUAGGUGGCCAACUAAGUCGGACGUGAAAUCCCUCGGCUUAACCGGGGAACUGCGUCCGAUACUGGUUGGCUUGAGUUUGGGAGAGGGAUGCGGAAUUCCAGGUGUAGCGGUGAAAUGCGUAGAUAUCAGGAAGAACACCCGUGGCGAAGGCGGCUCUCUGGGACGGUACUGACGCUGAGACGCGAAAGCGUGGGGAGCGAACAGG
rnacentral:rRNA from 1 species